GUUUUACUCCCUCCGUCCGACAAUACUUGUCACCAAAAUGAAUAAAAAAAGAUGUAUCUAAAACUAAAAUACGUCUAGAUACAUCCCCUUUCAUCCAUUUUGAUGACAAGUAUUUCCGGACGGAGGGAGUAUUAU
rnacentral:pre_miRNA from 1 species